CAUCUACAUGCAUGACCUAUAGUUCCUCAGGCUCUUCUUUGGAUGGCUCUUCCUUCAGUGGCUCACCUUCUUUAGGGCUCUCCUCAAGAAUCAUACAUUUUAAGAUGAAGUCAGCUAGUAUCUGCACCUUAAUAGAAGGAUGGGAUCAAAAUUUUACAUUGAACUCCGUGAGUUCGAUCGCUCACUUCGUUAGCCGACCCAACAUAUCCAAUCGAUGCAAGAUAAGCUCAGAGGC
rnacentral:lncRNA from 1 species